GGCCACCUCCAAAGAGACCUGCUGCUCCACCCCCAAUCUGUUGCUUGUGCCUUACUAGAGGUUUCUACCCUUUUCGGCGCCACAUCCCAGGGAAGGAAGAAACAUGCUCCAGGGCUGGAAGUUCGUCUUUGAGGGGAGGAAGUUCCCUGGAGUCUGCAGCAGAUGGGGGAGGCCCCAGUGGGGCGCACGUGGAUGCAUUUCUGGGAGGAAACCAAGUACCAUCCGCUCUCGCUCGCUCCCAUCCAGUGUUUUCUUCCCCCGAACUAGAAAGAAUGCUUCAGUCCCACAAUAUGGUUGGUUGGAGAGGAGAAGAAAAAGAAGACAUCAAAAAGAAAAUCUAGUGCUGGCUGGAUAUAGAGUAUGAAGAUGUGGAGCUGGGAAAACAGAGGACGUGGUGGGAUGCGGAAGGAAAGGUUGUGGAAGGCCUGCAUCCCGUCUCAGUUCCUCCACUGCUUCGUCCCAGAUUCUGUUUUUGUUUUCCUGAAUCAGACUUAGUCUCCCUCCAUUCUCCCGUCCCCUGUGUGCCCCCAUCCUGGUCCCGCCUCACUGGACAGCCUCUCCGCGGCCUUCCUCCUCCCUGCUCCAGAAUUCUACUUGGUGCCCCCCAACCCCACUCGACUCAUUGUCCACCUGGCCUCUGAGGCCAGGCACCCUCAUUCCCCUCUCCCACCCACCCCACCCAAGGAAGCCCAGCACAGACCAUCUCAGCUCACUCCACCCUCACUUCUUUACCAAAUGCAUUUCCAAACACCCUCAUGAGCUUUGCUGAUCUCUUUGCCAUCUCUCCCUGCCCUACUCCGAGGGCUCCUCCUGCCUGGUGAAGACUGCCCUGGGUACCCCAGAACUGAACCUGCAGCAGCCAGCACAGCUGACCUUGGGGCGAUAAGCAGCCAGGGAAAGGCUUUCUUAAAAAAAAAAAAAACAAAAAACAAUAACUCAGUAAGCAGAUUAAACAAAGGUAGAGACAGAGCCCUCCACCCCUCUCACACACACACUCAUCCUCACACACAGCUAUACCACACCCCACAAAUGUUGCUUAUGUUUCCUUGGUCAUUGUGUCCAUCCUCCUGUCUGUCCAAAGCCAAGGACACUGCUCUACUCUAAAUUUUUUGUCACGAAGCCCCCAAAUACUGCAACCCUGACCCAAUGCACGAAGCCACCCCAAAAUACAGCAGAGGACACCAGGACUUUCAUUUUCCCUCAUUAUGGCCCAUCCUUUGGGUAUGCCAACUCCAUGGCCACCAAGCACUGCAUGUGGGACAGGGCACAGUUUGGAGGCCUUGGUCCAGCCACUGGCCCAGACCCACCUUGGCUCUCUCCUCACUAACACCCAAGAAGCCCAGACUUCCCAGUGUUUAGCAACAGAUUAAACUCUAAGCCAACAACAACAGAACAGGGUGGAGUGAGUGGAAAGCAAAUGAAAUGUUAAAAAAAAAUUAAGCAAUACUUGCAUUCUCAUUAGUAGGAACAUGUGAGAUGAAGCAUGUUAUGUUAUUAGGCAUUCUCUUGAUUCGGUAAACACAAGCUGAAUAAAUUUAUAAAUAUCAGCAUUAAGCGAGAUUUAACGGGGAGCUGUUUAUCUUCUGCCUGUCAAGCAGGCGGCAACACUCUCCAUGUAUCACUCGCCAGCCGUGCAGUCCUCACUCUCUUGCCCAGGUAAGCUGGGGCAGAGCCUGCUGCAGCCCAACUCUGGUUGUGGGAGGGCUGGCACCAAGGAGCUGCGAGCUUACCUCAACUCAUCUCACCUGACCAUGCCGGCUGCAAGGCGGCCCCUGCAGUCCGUGCUCAGGAGGUCACACUCCCAUGCUGCAUCCCAGCCCCUCCAGCAGCAGAGCAUGACCUGGGUGACUUUGAGGAUGCUAUUUAACCUCUCUAAGCUAAAGCUCCUCAACUGCAGCAUCAACAGAUCAGUGCCGACCUGUUAAGGCCGUCGAGAGCAUCAAAUGCUACUGUUCAGCAGGUGCCUGACACAUAGUAGGUCCACAAGCAAAUGGUUUUCCUGCUUGCAUCAUUUCUAGCACAGAGCUGGAGGAAAUGGCAAGGUGCAGGUGGCCGCUGGGCCCUGCUGUUCUACAUGGGAGCAAGACAGCUGCUAGGUGAAGGGGAAUGACCAGGCAGCCACAGGGAGGACAUGUGGCCUCAGGAAGCCUGGGGGUGUAUCCUGGUUCUGCUAGGAAAACGUGUGGGGCUUUGUGUGGGUGACUCUCUGGCUCCCCAAGCCUCCCUUUCCUACUGUUAUAUCCUUAAAGUGACUCUGAGGCCAAAGCCUUUGUGGCAAUUGUCAAAUGAGUCCAUAUGCAGUGAGUAUCGUGUUGAGGGAGGACAAGGUCACCAAGAGCUGAGAAUGCUUCUCCGAGUGAUGAGACCUAGAUAUUGGGUACAUGGAGGUCCCCGGUCCCUUUGUGAUUCCUGCAGCCUGUUGCCUCCUUGCCUGGACCCUGCCUCAGCUCAGAAAGCCAAUUUCCUAGAUUCCAAAGGCCUUCCCAGACCAAUUAGCAUGUCCUGCAGCUGUCAGCUCCCUGUGCCUAGCCUGGACCUCAGCCCAUGUCUAGCACCCAGUCUCCCAACCCCACACAUAUUCACAAAUAAAAGAAAAUAAAAAAUGACAUAAAUUCUUCA